CCCAUUGUCUUUAUCUUUAUUUGUGUAGGUACAUGUUGUAUGGAAUAUCAAAGUACAAGUUCAAGGCCGGACUAAAUUGUGUUACUUUGUCAAGGAACGAGAGGAAUGAAGUUUGGGCUUUGUCACAUGGGCCUCGAGCUGUUGACUGAUGCCCUCAAGUGACAAACCAAACCCACUAUGCACACCUUCCUUAGCCUACACCACACUUUUGUUUAACCUACACCCCACCACACCAACCUCAUCCCCUGCAGCACCACACCAACCUCAUCCCCUGCAGCACCACACCACACCACACCACCGCAACUCAGCUCUCCAUCUCACCUACCCGCAUCCUCGAACAGCAACCACCGCACCACCUGAAAUCAAAGCCUAAUCAUAACAUCCCUCCUCUCACCUUCUUCUAUUCACCAACAACAACAGCAAAAACACAACCAAAAUCAAUCAAAAUGAACCCAGAAAACAGAGCAUAUUGGUUCGUUCGAACCCGUAAAUUGGUUCGGCCGGACCCGAAAUUUAGAGUUCCUGAUCGUAUGAGGUUCGGUCGAAUCCGAAUGAAGUUCGCCAAACCACAACUAAGUUCGACCGGACCUCCUAUUAGUUCGUCCGAACAUUUGGGCGGUCAAAUUUUUGUACGGAAUUAAUGAAGUCAAGUGGCUCGUGGUUGUUGGCCGCUCUAUUCGCCGUCGUACAUUGUUUAAUUAAGGGCUGCGAUUGAAGCUUUGCGAUUAAUGGCAGCGAUUGAAUGGUGAUGGACGAUUGAUGAAGAUCAAUGGAUGAUGGUUGUUGGUCAACGGAGACGAACCAAUGGAUGAUGAUGGCUGAUGAACGGUGUUGAUCGAUGGUGAUGUUGGUGGACGAUGAUGAUUGAUUAAGAAAUGGAAGGAGGAGAGCGAAGGGAACACGAAGGGUGGACUCAUUUCAUUUUGGCUGGGGGUGAUUAUAAUAAACGAAGGAGAUGGGUCUGAUGAGUGAUGACUCCGUGAAUUAGUUGGUGGGGAUUUAGGUGCUUUCUUAUUUUAUUUCCCUUUUCUUUUAUUUCUUCUUUUAAUUCCUUUUUUUUUUGUGGUUUUGUUUUAGGCUUCCUUUUUCUUUUUUUUUCUUAGUUUCUUUUAGGAUUUUUUGUCAUUUAACACCUUAAAAAAAAUCAACUUUUGUAAUUAAACACCUUGCUUAAUUUAAAUUAUAUUUAACCACCUUAAAAAAUUACAAAAUUUAGAAUUCAACACCGGUUAACGGUUUCCGUUAGAAAAAACGGAGGUGGGGCCCACUUGCAUAUUCAUCCAACUUAGAGUUUAAUCUAAUCCUAGCUUCCACGAUUCUUUUUAUUUUUAUUUUUUUAAUUUCAUUGUUUUCUUCCCCCUUGCUCACUGCGAUUUUCGUUAUUUUCGUUAUUUUCUUCCCCCUGCCCCUGCUUCCUCCUUCACUCUACCCAGUCUCAAUAUCUCAGAAAAAAAUUGCCUAAAACUUUCUGAAAUUGGUAGAGGGACUAAAUUUAUGCAACUUGCAAUUAAUCAAGAGGAGAAAGAGAAUAAUCGAGCUACAAUCAGGGAAUAGCAGUGAAAAGAGAGCAGGUAUUGCAGCAACAGGGAGCUUACUAGGAGCAGCUACAGUUGUAACACUUAUAUUCAUUCAGUGGAGAUGCCAAGUCCAAAAAAAACAAGGAAAGAAAAUUACGAGGAAAAAGACAGUGUCAGAUGUUCUUGGAAUAGACGAAAACCAAGAUCAAAUCGAAGAGGUUCUACUGUUCAAAUUCGAAAGGGUGGUGACAAUAACAAACAACUGCCACGACUCUAAAAAUCUUGGGCGAGGGGGAUUUGGUCUAGUUUACAGGGGAAAAUUAGAAGACGGACACGAGGUUGUUGUCAAGAGACUUUCAAGAGCCUCAAGACAAGGAUUAGAAGAGUUUAUAAAUGAGGUGUUGGUUAUAUCUAAACUUCAGCACCGAAAUCUUGUAAGAUAAUUGGGUUGUUGUGUGGAAGGAGAGGAGAAGAUGUUGAUAUACGAGUACUUUUUUAGUUUAGGUCUACACUCCGAGGAAUGCGCCUUAUGCUAGUGAGGAAAAUGUAUGUGGUUUGUGAGCAAUAGGCUAAGUUUUUUACCAACAAGUAUUUAUUAUUGGUCUGAGCGCGCUUGAUCGAGUUCGUUUAGUUGUUAUAGAACAAUAUUUUAUAUUAAAGUGUAUGCGUACGUUGAAAUUGGAACAUAUAUUUAAAUGUAGUACGUGCACUUUGGUUUUAA